rnacentral:rRNA from 1 species
GAGGUAGAGCAAAUCUCAAAAAAACAAUCUCAGUUCAGACUGCAGGCUGCAACUCGCCUGCACGAAGUCGGAAUUGCUAGUAAUCGUAGGUCAGCAUACUACGGUGAAUACGUUCCCGGGCCUUGUACACACCGCCCGUCAAACCAUGAGAGUUGGCAACACCCGAAGUCGGUAGUCUAACCGCAAGGAGGACGCCGCCGAAGGUGGGGUUGAUGAUUAGGGUUAAGUCGUAACAAGGUAUC